rnacentral:misc_RNA from 1 species
GAUGAAGAACGUAGCAAAAUGCGAUACUUGGUGUGAAUUGCAGAAUCCCGUGAACCAUCGAGUUUUUGAACGCAAGUUGCGCCCGAAGCCUUUUGGCCGAGGGCACGUCUGCCUGGGCGUCACGCAUCGCGUCGCCCCCCACAAUUCUCCGUAAAAGGAACAUGUGUUUUGGGGGCGGAUAUUGGUCUCCCGUGCUCAUGGCGUGGUUGGCCGAAAUAGGAGUCCUUUCGAUGGACGCACGAACUAGUGGUGGUCGUAAAAACCCUCGUCUUUUGUUUCGUGCUGUUGCUCGCAAGGUAAACUCUUUAAAAACCCCAAUGUGUCGUCUCUUGACGACGCUUCGACAGCGACCCCAGGUCAGGCGGGACUACCCGCUGAGUUUAAGCAUAUCAAUAAGCGGAGGA